AUUGAACGCUGGCGGCAUGCCUUACACAUGCAAGUCGAACGGCAGCACGGGAGCAAUCCUGGUGGCGAGUGGCGAACGGGUGAGUAAUAUAUCGGAACGUGCCCAGUCGUGGGGGAUAACGUAGCGAAAGCUACGCUAAUACCGCAUACGAUCUAUGGAUGAAAGCGGGGGAUCGCAAGACCUCGCGCGAUUGGAGCGGCCGAUAUCAGAUUAGGUAGUUGGUGAGGUAAAGGCUCACCAAGCCGACGAUCUGUAGCUGGUCUGAGAGGACGACCAGCCACACUGGGACUGAGACACGGCCCAGACUCCUACGGGAGGCAGCAGUGGGGAAUUUUGGACAAUGGGCGCAAGCCUGAUCCAGCAAUGCCGCGUGCAGGAUGAAGGCCUUCGGGUUGUAAACUGCUUUUGUACGGAACGAAACGGUGAGCUCUAAUACAGUUUGCUAAUGACGGUACCGUAAGAAUAAGCACCGGCUAACUCCGUG
rnacentral:rRNA from 1 species